rnacentral:rRNA from 1 species
GACGAACGCUGGCGGCGUGCUUAACACAUGCAAGUCGAACGGUAAGGCCCUUCGGGGUACACGAGUGGCGAACGGGUGAGUAACACGUGGGUGAUCUGCCCUGCACUUCGGGAUAAGCCUGGGAAACUGGGUCUAAUACCGGAUAGGACCCUGGGAUGCAUGUCCUGGGGUGGAAAGCUUUUGCGGUGUGGGAUGGGCCCGCGGCCUAUCAGCUUGGUGGUGGGGUGAUGGCCUACCAAGGGGACGACGGGUAGCCGGCCUGAGAGGGUGACCGGCCACACUGGGGCUGAGAUACGGCCCAGACUCCUACGGGAGGCAGCAGUGGGGAAUAUUGCGCAAUGGGCGCAAGCCUGAUGCAGCGACGCCGCGUGAGGGAUGACGGCCUUCGGGUUGUAAACCUCUUUCAGCACCGACGAAGCGCAAGUGACGGUAGGUGCAGAAGAAGGACCGGCUAACUACGUGCCAGCAGCCGCGGUAA